rnacentral:rRNA from 1 species
UCCAGACUCCUACGGGAGGCAGCAGUGGGGGAUAUUGCACAAUGGGGGAAACCCUGAUGCAGCGACGCCGCGUGGGCGAAGAAGUAUUUCGGUAUGUAAAGCCCUAUCAGCAGGGAAGAAGAAAUGACGGUACCUGAGUAAGAAGCACCGGCUAAAUACGUGCCAGCAGCCGCGGUAAUACGUAUGGUGCAAGCGUUAUCCGGAUUUACUGGGUGUAAAGGGAGCGCAGGUGGCAAGGCAAGCCAGAAGUGAAAACCCGGGGCUUAACCCCGCGGAUUGCUUUUGGAACUGUCUGGCUGGAGUGCAGGAGGGGCAGGCGGAAUUCCUGGUGUAGCGGUGAAAUGCGUAGAUAUCAGGAGGAACACCGGUGGCGAAGGCGGCCUGCUGGACUGUAACUGACACUGAGGCUCGAAAGCGUGGGGAGCAAACAGGAUUAGAUACCCGCGUACU